UAUUAUUAUCAGUUAAAUUUUUGUUUCAAAUACAUAAAAUCAAAUUGUCAUAAAAAUAGAAAAAAAUUAUAUUUGUUUAAUAAAAAUAUUAAUUUCUUCAAGAACCAUAUUGAGAUGUUUCAUAAUGGAUUGUUUUAAAAGUAAAUACCGCGAUUAUAGAAACUUUGUAGAUGCGGUAUAAUAAUAAUAAUGGACAAGAUUUUGUAUAUAAGUUAAGCUAUAUCGAGAGAAGUGAGAGCUGUUCUACCUCCGAUAAAGGCAAAUCAUCGAUGUACAUCACAACAUUGAAGAGUUAUAGCAUUUUUGGGAUUACGUUUCAGUCAUAUCGAAAACAGCAAGCCAUGAUACGUGUUUGAAUCCAAUAUAAAUGAUGCCAGUACCACAACCGAAGCGAAAGGAGACUAUUAACGAAAUUUCUAUUAGCAUACGUAGCGGUUUAACAAUUAUUAAUCCGUAUUAUACAUAUUUAAUCUUUAACAAAUGAUCACAAUAAAACUAAAAUCU